UGAGUAACACGUGGGUGAUCUGCCCUGCACUUUGGGAUAAGCCUGGGAAACUGGGUCUAAUACCGAAUAUGACCAUGGGAUGCAUGUCUUGUGGUGGAAAGCUUUUGCGGUGUGGGAUGGGCCCGCGGCCUAUCAGCUUGUUGGUGGGGUGAUGGCCUACCAAGGCGACGACGGGUAGCCGGCCUGAGAGGGUGUCCGGCCACACUGGGACUGAGAUACGGCCCAGACUCCUACGGGAGGCAGCAGUGGGGAAUAUUGCACAAUGGGCGCAAGCCUGAUGCAGCGACGCCGCGUGAGGGAUGACGGCCUUCGGGUUGUAAACCUCUUUCAGCACAGACGAAGCGCAAGUGACGGUAUGUGCAGAAGAAGCACCGGCCAACUACGUGCCAGCAGCCGCGGUAAUACGUAGGGUGCGAGCGUUGUCCGGAAUUACUGGGCGUAAAGAGCUCGUAGGUGGUUUGUCG
rnacentral:rRNA from 1 species